rnacentral:snoRNA from 1 species
UGGACCAAUGAUAGCAUGUCAUGAAUCAAGGAUUCUAAUUAAUCCAGUUCUGUGAAUCUGAGGUCUUAG